AUGAAGGAGUAAUGUAUAUUCUUCUACUUAGCCAAUUAUUACCUUUAGUUACUAUACUAAUUAAUUAGGAUCUCAAUUAAUAUCAGUAUUAUCAUUACAAAAUAUACAAUUCAGGUAUAUAGGCGUCACAAAAAUAUUCAUAUCUACAAAAUGAAUAUGGGAUGCAGAUAAUGUACACAAAAAUAGAUCACCAAACACCAAUUCUCACUGCGGCUAUAUGUUAAUAAGAUUGUAAAAAGCACAAAAUCAAAGAAAUAGCACACAUUCACAAAAUCAUGAGGUUUUAUAGAACAAAAUAACAAACAACUCUGUAAUGGUUCCACCUUGUUUUCUGCAAUCUCAUAAUGAAGUGAAAAUCAACUAAUGCAAGUUCAUUCUCGCCAGCUAUAAUUCCUCAAUCUCAUAAAGAAUAGUAAUCCAAAAGAAGCAAUCCAACCAAAGGAGUUUUUAAUGAAAUGCAAUCAAAUCACUGAUUCUAUUCAAACAGGGGAAAUUCACUUUAUGAUGUGACACAAUCUCUACUAAUAUGAACUGUCAAAAUCAAUUACAUGUGGCAAAGAAUGUGUAUUGUUCUGGUUAGGGCAUCAGCCACUACUUCCAGUCAUUGCAGUUAAUUUCUCUCCCUCAUGUCAUUCCCUCACAAUAAUCAAUUACUAAUUUACAUUUUAGUUAAUCAAUAAUAAAAAAAAAAAUCUUAUUAAAAAUGUAAGG
rnacentral:misc_RNA from 1 species